GAGACAACUGUCUUCCUCCCUCGCCUCAUCGAUCCGUCUCUUUUUCGCCUCGUCACUACCAUUUUCCUUCAAAACUUAAGAUAUUCUUUUUAGAGGAAGAUGUCUGAAGGACAUUCUUUCAAUAACAAUAAGGGUGGUUGUGGAACUGGCCCAUUUUGUCUUAGCCUCGGCUUUGUCAUUUAUUCUUAUAUCAGCUACGUACUGACACCAGUUCUCUUGUUACCUGUUUGAUAUUUCUUGUUUAUCCACCAUAAAACAACAGUACAACCUAUUUGAGGCAGCAUCUCUCAAACCCAAUGCUUUUUAAAGAAAAGAAACUGCUUCGUAUCGUACGCAUUAUUAUAUGUUUCUUGCAAUUUUAAUAUUUCAUUGUAUGUUUCUCUUCUGGUAUUCAUUGGAUAACUUAUAUAGUGUUUCUUUAUAUUGUAUAUUUGCUCACAGUCUUAAGUUUCAUAGUUUUAAGAAUUACAGAGACACCAUAUCCUUCACUUAGCUGCCUUUCCCCUCUCAUCCUUCGCUCUCCUUUACCUCUUCGUCAGCUAUAGCUAAUGACUAUUUGCCUUCUAACUCAUCAUGGUAGUUUAUACUUUGCUUCCACAAGACAAACCUUUUAUUACAUUUUUUUUCGUAAAAUACAAACUUGAAUCAAAAUUAAAAAUGCUCGAUUUAAUGGAAGAACUAGAACAGUAAUGAUGGAUGAAUGAAUACAUAGUUCGAAGCCUCGCACCUCAUGUCAACGCCUCGGCCCACGCGAGACAGGCGGAGCACUUCUGGGGCUGGUGGCCUUAGUCCACUGUGUUAGAUGGUGGUAGGGACGUCGUGAGUGAUGAUCAACAAACGGCUUUUGAAGCAGAUGAGAGCUGGCUGAAAUGCUGUGAUGCGAUGUGGGCCUGUUGAAUAACUGAUGCCCGAGGCUGCCAGCGUCUUGCUAGGACAGGAAAUUUUCAAAGGUAUCCACUUAUCUACUUGGAGGAAGAAUUGGUGGCUGGGCAAGCUGUGCACUGACUACCCUUGGUGGGAUUUGAACAAGGACUUGAAGACGCAGCGAAGAGCACUAGCUACUGCACCAAGGAGAAUGCAAGGCAACUCAUAAAUCAGCAUUAUUACUAUAUUAGAAAGGAAAGCAGGCUGUAUAUUUUGUAUGGUCAUGAAAGACAGUUAAAAAUAGAUCUAUUUAUUUUCUGUAUUGGAAAAUUGUUUGGAUAAUUGUGUGCAUGACUUUUUGCAUCCAGUGCACACUUAAUAUCCCUGCAUUACAGAUCUCAGCAGGCACCGUAUCAUUCACCGAGAUCCCUCUUUGCUGAAGUGGAUAAACUUCUGUGGCUAGAAAGAACUGUAUGUAUAUCUAGGCGUGUGUUGGUGGUGGGGCAAGGCUUUAAUAAUCUAUAAAUAUGAAGUAGGAAUGUAUCAAAUGUUCAAAUACAAUGAGAUAUGAGACUUCCCUAUGUUGUGGAUGUAACAGUUCACAACUCUUAUAAAGAUUUUUCUUGCAAUAUAGAAGACAGGAUUUCAAUGGCGUUCCAGAUGGAAAAAAGGAUGAAGACAGAAGACCAAGUAGGGUUAAAAGUACUGCAAAAUAAUAAUUUACGUAGAUAUCAAGCUGACAUUUACUGUGAAGUGUUUGCUGAGAGUUCACCAUAUGCCCACAGUUAAGUAAUGAAAUGCCAUUAGUUUGGUAAAUGAUUGAGGGUGAAAUAUAGGGUGACUGUUAAGCUGCCUGAGGAGGUAGAUGAAAAAUGGAGAGCAGUUGUGAAUGUAUGAAUGGAGAUGCAGCCUUGAUUAAUUAUGUUCUGUAUGUAAAGGUCAAGGAUAGGAUAUAUUAUUGUGAAAAAGGGAUAAACCAGAAUUGCUUUAGGGCAUGGAUAUGGGAACUGCUUAGCAACAAACACUGGGCAAGAAAAGAGAUCCUUUCUCUUCUUUCAUACUUGUGUAUGAAUGUAUGCAUAUAGAUCCCUCUUCAUACUGAAUGUCUAUCUAGAAUAUAAUCAGAUUAUCAUUCUUAGAGUGGUGUAUAAAAUCAUCCAAGAAAGAAGUGUGCCUUGUCUGGCCUAUCCCCCUUUUUGAGAAACAGCCUUGGCAUAUGUGUAUGUACUGUUGUUACCAACAUUAGCUAUAUCCUAUUGCUGUCAGUCAUACAGUAAGGACAGACAAGGCACCCUAACCAUUAUCUGAUUAUUCUUUCUCUCAAGGAACCCUAACUAUUCUCACAAACCCACUGCUUACAAACCACAGCCCCUCCCCACCAAUCAAAAGUGCAUGCUGUCUAAAGAAAUUUUGAGAGCAUUUGAGGCAUCCUGCAUUGUGUCAAAAUAAAGUGAGAAAAAGGCUUUUGACUCAGAGUUUGAUGAACCAUAACUACCAUACUACCAUAACUUUAUUAUAUAAUCAAAAUGACCAGCAGACGAUCAAAAUCAUGGUAGCCUCAAAAAAUAUUUGAGACCAAUGAUAUUCACUACCUAAUUUUUGUAUGUCUUUUUGCAAAUUUAGUUAUGGUUUUGGAAGUUCACCAAAGUCUGAGUGUAUUUGUUCUCUGAAUACUUCACACAAUAAUAAUAAUUCAUGAAUAUUGAACAUAAGAAUACAAAAUAACUAUUAACAAUGACAAAGUGGAAAAAUUGUGAAGAAACUGGACAGUGGGUUAAGGGUUGCUCAUCCCAUUACUAAUACACAGCAGAAAAGCUGGGAGCAUCCUUUCUAUCUCAACAGACACCAAAAUGAAAGGAAUUAACUGUUAAUUUUCAAAACUAUAAUGGCAGCUCAUUCUGGAUGGGCAGCCUUUCUAACACAGAAUAUUGCUUAGCAGUGUGUUGCACCUGCAUUGAUGGUCAACUAAACAUAAAAAUUAUUUGCUCCUUGUAUAGAUUUUUAACCGUACUACCAGGACACUCAUCCACUCCAGGGGAAAGUCAAGACAAUAUUGUGCUAUACUCAGGUUUGGCCAGGAUGGUGCGAGUGGCCCUUUUAAAGCAGGACACCUCAUUUGUUGUGACAAGACAAGAUCCAUAAUUGAGUACAAUGGAUACAGCAUGGGUGCUGGUGCAACUUGAGAAAAAAUUGUGGUGUUGUGGACUGGGUGAAACAUUUUCAGUGGUUAUAAUCACAGGUGGGCGUUAUUACAAUAAAUUAUUAUUGUGAUAAUAACAAUUGUGAUAAUUAUUUUUCCAUGUUAUUGAUUCACUGGUAUUGUCGAUAUUUUUGUUUCCAAACUAGUGAUAAUCAAUAAUUUUAAUUUUUGGGACAUGAGCAUGUUGAAAAUCAAAUGUUAUUUUACUUAAAAAUUUUUCAUUAGAAAUAUGGUUAUUUUCCUUAAAAUAGUCUAUUUUAUUUUUCAUUACUGAAAAGAUAAUGUUUGAAUUUAAAUUUUUCUAAGAAAACUUUAUUUUAAAGAUUUUAACUAAAUAUCAAUUUUUUAAAUUUAAAAUCAAUAUUGUUAUCGCUAGUAUUGGGAUUUUAGAUUAUCGGUUAUCAGAUGAUAAAUAUAUCACCAGUUCACCAAUAAGGUUAUUGUUAUCAAUUUAUCACUUAUCAAAAUCAAUUUUUUCGUUAUCAUGUCCAGCUAUGGUUAUAACCAUACUGAGAAUAAAGAGGGAAGUGUUUGUAAAGAAUGAUAGAAGUUUAAGGUGCUAGCUAAUAGGAGAGGAAGGCAGUUUUUAAGAUGAAAGGAUAAAGGAGCACAUGUAAGCAAGAGGUGAUAGUAGAGGCAAAGUGCUUACUUGAACAACUGAGAAGAGGAUAUUUAGAUUGCAAGAGAUGGAGGCUCUUUUGCCUAGGCCACCCCAUAGGGAAAGUGAGCUAUUAAAGAGAAUCUUGCUUCCUCUGUGACUGCAUCCCAAUAGGAUGGUCAUGGCCACUUCUUCCUACCUAAGCAUACUAUUCUUGGUUCUUGAAGCACCUACCCUGCUGUCUGUACUCACUUCUUCCUACCUAAGCAUACUAUUCUUGGUUCUUGAAGCACCUAGCCUGUUGUCUGUACUAACAUUUCCUGCACACACAUUCUGUAUUUUUCUUCCUACAAAUGCCCUUCUAGAAUCAACUUCCAUCUUUAAAAAAACUCUUCUCUUCAUUCUAACCAAUACAACUACAACCUAACCAAUAUAUAUUGGCUAUAACCACAUCUUUUUCUUUCACCCAUUCCACAACUAAAUGUACAGCACAUGCACUGACACUGUACCACAUCUCUUGUACUCAUUGUUCUCAUUCUCUUGUCACUUGGGUCCCAAAUCUUCUUCUUUAACUCAUUUACAUAACUCGUUUACAUGACAUACUAUCUUGAGAGGGAAGUAGGGGGAGUGCUUUGAAAACACUGGAUCUGUAGCCUGAGAUCUCUCUCUUAGACCACAGAUGGUAUGUCUACAAACCACAACCCAAAAAUAGCAUUUGUGUACAUGUUUCUCUAACAGCACAUUUGCAUUCAUAUCUAAAUAAAAUAAUGAUGAUGA